AAAAAUCUUCAACUAUUCAAAUUUUCUACUAGGGAGCGCUUUAAUCAUUUUAAAUUUUGGCAGUAACUAUUGUUUCUUCUCGUAAUCGUUUAUUUAAACUAACGUAGUACGUAAAUCGAUACUUCCGUUAUUCGAAUGAUCAGAUACGAAUUAUCGAUAAAGAAAUCUCUUGAAGAUAAGAUUUGAAUGAUAAGAACAAUGUUGUAGAUAUUCUGUGAUAAUGAUGCUUACGACGAUUGUUGUAACAUAAGAUAAAGCACGACAAUAUGACAAAUCUUUAUCAAAUUCUUAAUAUAUUAAAAUGGUAAUAAAAACGAUCGUUUAACCAAUUGGAGAAAAGGCGCGUUUAAGCGCAUGCGCAAGAAUUGUGAUUUUACGUAAGACACGAUACGUCUGCUAACGAUAUAUUUAUUCAUUGUUUACAGCUACUCUUUAGCUUCUGUAGAAACAUCUUACAAAACCACUAUACAUAGAAAAAAGUCGAUAUUCAUAAUUGACAUACACGAAAAGAAUAUUACUUUAUAUUUAUGAGAUCGAAUAUUUUUAAUGUUAUAAAUUACAUUUUGAAAAUGCCAUUUUAUUAUGCUGUUGCAAAAGGUCGAAAUCCUGGAAUUUACCUUAGUUGGCCAGAAUGUCAGGAACAAGUUAAUAAAUUUACUGGAUCCAUAUAUAAGAAAUUCUCAUCAAAGUUAGAAGCAGAACAUUUUAUAAAACAAUGUAGUGAUUCUUCAAACGUGUCUUCAAGCAAAUUGAUUGAAGAAAAGAAGUAAAUAUUUGCAAUAAUAUUAAGUUAUUUAAGUAGA